rnacentral:rRNA from 1 species
AUUGAACGCUGGCGGCAUGCUUUACACAUGCGAGUCGAACGGCAGCGCGGGCUUCGGCCUGGCGGCGAGUGGCGAACGGGUGAGUAAUGCAUCGGAACGUGCCCAGCAGUGGGGGAUAGCCCGGCGAAAGCCGGAUUAAUACCGCAUACGACCUGAGGGUGAAAGCGGGGGACCGAAAGGCCUCGCGCUAUUGGAGCGGCCGAUGUCGGAUUAGCUAGUUGGUGGGGUAAAGGCUUACCAAGGCGACGAUCCGUAGCUGGUCUGAGAGGACGACCAGCCACACUGGGACUGAGACACGGCCCAGACUCCUACGGGAGGCAGCAGUGGGGAAUUUUGGACAAUGGGGGCAACCCUGAUCCAGCCAUGCCGCGUGCGGGAAGAAGGCCUUCGGGUUGUAAACCGCUUCUGUUCGGGAAGAAAUCCUCUGGGCUAAUACCCCGGGGGGAUGACGGUACCGGAAGAAUAAGCACCGGCUAACUACGUG